CACAUCUUCUCCCUCAAGACUGAAAGCAACCGAAGCAGCCCAAGUGCAGGGGAGGAAUCCCCUUUUCCUGUGUACCCUCAGAGUUUGGUGCAGUGUCUGCAACAGAGGAGCCAUUCACUAAGUGCUUGUGGAAGGACUGAAGUCCCUACUUUCCCGGCCACUGCUCAGCACGAUGGCAGCUUGACUUGGGCUCCUGAUCCACUUGCUGUCAGUCUACGGAGGCGAGGCCAUCGAUUAUUUGUCAUACCUGUCUAUGCGGCAAAGCGCCCUGGAUCUUCACUUGGUUUCCUCAUUCAGGCAUCACUGCAAACAUCUUUUAGGCGCUUACUACGUGUCAGGCAUUGGGCGGUGAACAAAACCUGCUUCCCGUUCUCAAGAAGCUCAACGGGAACACUGAAGAGCUGGACAGUUUCCCUCUUCCAUUUGACAUCUUAGAUCUGGCAGAAUAGAGACUUGAGGUUACAGUGCUGGGCACAUAGCAGGCUUCUUAAAGAUUCGCUGAUAACCAACUAGUGCGUGAGGAUAAAAAGAGGAUUCCGUGUCCUUUGCCUCCUAUCUACCGUGGAGGAUGUGUGAAAUGAAGUGCUAACAUGAGGGCACUGGAGAAACUUCCAGGGAAACAUCCAAGUUAAAGAAUACCCACCUUUUGACAUUGCUAUCAAUAGAUACCUGGAUGAGAAGAAUUCAACAAAAAAAAUUUAGCCAAGAUUCUGGUGCUUGGGGUGCACAGCCUUACACGGUUUCUACAGUUAGAAUGUUUUUGGCUACAAGCAACCCUUCCAUCUCCAACAUGGAUUCCGACUAAAACAAUACAUAACUUUAUUAUUUCACAUAAGAUUAAGUCUUCAAGUAAUGAUGAAUCUGUAAUCAGUUAAGUUACCAUCUAAACAAGAUGCCAGAGGCCAACAUUCUUUCUACCUUGACUCUCUGCUCCCUUUAGCCUGUUGGGUUUUAUCCUGAAGCUGUCAUCCCUUAUGAUCACAGGUGGCUCCUUGUUGUUCUGGUUGCCAUUAUCAUACCACAAAACAACAUCCAGAUGAAAAGACUCCUUUUCUUCAUUUAUGUCUUUUUAUUAUCAACAAAUGCUUUCCUAGAAGCCCCCAGAGACUUUUUCUUAUGUCCCAGGAGCAAGCAUCACCCAGCAUAACAAUUCAUAAACCAAAUGUCAGCAAGGGAGAUAGGAUUAGUGGUACUGGCUUCAGAAGUGAAAUGCAUAAUUUUACAUUAAUGGAAAGCUUUGCCUGUCCACAUCAGGACUCCUUUGGGAAUCUAGAGGACAAAGCAGAAAUAAAGAGAUGUACAGAACUUUUAAUCACCCAGAAGCUGUGAUGCUGCCCCACAAAGCAGCACACUCACUUGGCCCUUAUUCUAGCCCCUCAGUGUUUUUACAUGCUUGUGUGAGUCUUUUGGGUCAGGUUUAAAUCCUGGCUCUUUCAAUUAUUGCUUCAUGAUAUGGGUAAUUAACUCAGUUUCCUUAUUCAGAAAUAGGGAUAAUAAUAGCACCACAUUCAUAGUGUUGUUUUGAAUAUUAAAAUAGUUAGUAUAAGAAAAGCAUUUAGAAAGGUGCCUUGCUAUACGAAAUAAUCAGUACAUUGUACACACACACAUUCACCCAUUGAUUCAUAUUUAUAUGAAUUGAACCGAAUGACAAGAGGAAUCAAAUAUUGUCAAGGUGGAGUCGUGGGACUUAAUUCUGGCCAAUGGAAAAUGGAUGGAAGUAAUGUAUAUCACUUCUAUGAGUGGCCUAUAGAAACUUCCUUUCAAGAUCAAUCCUUCUUCCCUUUCUGACUGGUUGAAUGGAGACAAGCUCUCAGCCCCUCUCCUCAGGGCAACCUAGACAAUCAUGUGGUGAAGACAGCAGGCCUUCCAAAAGAUGCCUACUAGAGAGCACCCUCCCUCCCACACACAGAACACCAAACUGAACUGUAAGGUGAGCAAGAAGUAAUUGUGUUGUCUUUAUUUUAUGUUAUUUCAUUGUGUUAAGUCACAAAGAUUUCAAGCCUUACCUGCUAUGACAGCUAGCAAAUAUCUCAAUAAAUAUACCCAUCUUUGUGGGCCUGGAGAAAUAGAUGACAUAUCUAACUAUGAUAGCAACUGUUUGUAUUUUUCUUUCCUACUAUAAUCUAUCUUUUUAGAAACUCCUGUGGUUACAAACUAGAGGCUGAUAGGCUAGGUUGGGGCACAGAUAUUUUUUAUUUGGCCUGUGCAAUAUUGUCUGGAUUCAUUGUCAACACACACACACCUUUUCAUGUCUGGCAUCUCUGAAAAAGGCAGAAUAUCCAUAACGCUAUUGAUGGCAACUAUUGGCUUGGCCAAAUAGAGGUCCCCUGUCGAUAGAGCAUGGGAUCUCCAUUUGCCACUAUCCCCAACCCUCUUAACUGUAUCAUGGCCAGUCCACAUCCCCUGUGUAUGUUGUCUGCCAGGUCUCUGGAGCCCUUAGGACUUGUUGUUAGCCCCUUUCUUUGUAAAGAGUGCUGGGCUUUCUGAGAGGUGUUCUUUGGUUAGUUUGUUUCUCUAAGCAUUUUCUCCCAAUGACAUUUCAAAUGCCCUUCCAAGUUGUACAGGGCAAGAUGGGGUUUUCCUCCUUCUGUGCAUCUGCAGUACUAAUGGAUGCAGAAUCAGCACUUCAUGUGGAAUCUGAAAGCUGUCAAGCUUCUCCCCUGACUUUCCACUUAGGUGGUGGGAGGGCUUUAUCAACUACCUAAAAUAACCAAAAUGGACCUGCUGCAUUCCUGCUGCAUUUCUUUCCAAUACAUUUGAAACCUUUGUUCAGAUAUUGGACAUGCAAGACAACAAGCGUCAAGACAAUGGAGCCACCAAGAAUUGUGACCCUUUAUCUAGCCCUGGUGUGGAACUAUUAAUUACUGCAGACUAUGCCCCACUUCCCUGAUGCUGAGAACAACAUAAUGAAGCCCUGUGGAGACACUGAGAGAAAGAAUACCUAUCAUUAACUCUUCACACAGACAGAUAAGGCUGGGAAAGUGCAAACUUGGAUAAAACUCUUCUUUAUGGAUAUCCAGGGAGAUGAAGAGUGUUUCUUUAAAAUAAAGCUUGUCUUAAAGAGAAUCACUUUCAAGGAUUAAAGGUAGUAGUAUAUGGGUAACAUGCUUUUAAGCAACAACUCACGGGGACAAAAUGAUAUCCUUUAUGGCCAAAGCACUCUGAAAAAAUGGUUUACAUUCUUCAAAUAUUAUGAUUUUUGUUUAAUUUUUAGAGAAUUGCAAUAAGAUGGUCCCAUUUCCUUAUAGCUCUCUUUUGGUGACCUCAUCCAAAUUUAAGUUUCUAAAUCUGAAUGUAAAUGAAUGGAUCAGACCUGUAUAAGUCAGGGCCAGUGAGAGAAAUGGGCACUUUGUAAUAGAAGUAAUUUCAAAUUCCAGUAAAGCUCUGCUUGAUUUCCCCCUUUUCCAUCUAGCAUGCUAAUCUCCAUCUGGCUGCAGUAGCAGCAUCUGCCUUUAAAAUGACCCUUUUCCUUCUCAGGAAGGAGAGCGAAUUGUGCUCUCCAUGUUUCAGGACUGCACCUCUUCUGGGUCACCCUCCUGACUAAUGUGCUUUUCUAUGAGUAAUAUCAUAAUUCACAGUUUUUUCCCCCUUUUUCUUUGAGACUAACUGGGUAAUUCAAGUUUCAUUUUCUCUCUCUGGGUAUUUAAAGGCCAGCCCUUCAGACCAAUUUUAGCCAUCUAUUACUGGUGAGCCAAUUUCUUGAGAGGCCUAUUUGCAGAGCUGGUUCUGUAAGCUUGAGCCUGCUCCACCAGCCAGGCCCUUACAUUGCAUGUGGAAUUUAUUCAGACAAAGUCAUUUUUUGAGCAUAAAAUGAAUGUCAUGGAGUCAGUAUCACUGACUUUGUAGGCUAUUUUCAGUACCAUUUAGGCACUGAUUGGGCCUUUUACAUGGUCUCUAAUAUUACAGAUUUGGUAAAUAUCAAGUAUUAACCAAACUACUUCUGACACAUUCCAACUCAUGACUUCCUUCCUUUUUAAUUGUGUGCAGAAAUAGAACAGAAUAUGACAAUAGGAAGAUGUUACAUGGUUCUAUGAUUGGUGACAGGAUUAGGGAGAGGAAGCAACUCUCACAAUAUGUCUUAUGCCAAUUUUGGUAAUAAGCAAACGUGGAAUUUGGAUCCAAGCUAAGGUAAAUAUAUUCAUAUUGGUGCACGUAUGCUCCUAUUUUCAUGUAUGUUUUAUGGAAUCUGUCUCAUAAUUUUGUGAUCACAGCUCAUAUACAUGACUAGGACAUGAAAUCUUGUACAUCUAAUUGACAACAGGUGUCAUCCUGUAUAUGGCAAAUGAAUCUGAUAUUCCAUGUAGUGUUUGGUAUGUAUGGUCAUCUACAAAAUCCUAUUUGUGAAAUAUAAAAUUUGGAUUUUGUAUGUGCUUUGUUCUGAAUCUGGAAAGAGAUGGUAUUUCUUAGUGUUUGUCUUUCCUGAUAUGUAGCCCUGAUUAGUUGUAAAAUUGAGGUAUUUAAAAAUGAUUGCUGGAAGCUUUACAGUCUUUGAGAGGAAGGAUAGGAAAUGUCUAAGGAAGUAAGAGGCUUUGGAGUUAUAUGAUAAUCAGACAGAAUAAAACCCACAAUUUUCUGGCUUCUGUAAAUAAUAGGAAUAUCACUGGUCAUGGAGGUAGGUAUAGAGUUGAAACAGUGAUGGCAAGAGCUUUUUCUCCUCUUCUUUGGAACACAUACAUAUUUGGUAACUAUAUAUUUUUUAUUCAUUUUGAGAGAGAGAGGGCAGAGAGGUAGGGAGAGA